rnacentral:rRNA from 1 species
CCUACGGGUGGCAGCAGUGGGGAAUAUUGGGCAAUGGGGGAAAGUCUGACCCAGCAAAGCCGCGUGAGUGAAGAAGGUCUUCGGAUUGGUAAGUUCCUUAGUCAGGGGAGAAAAAAAUGACGGUACCUGAAGAAUAAACUCCGGCUAAAUACGGGCCAGCAGCCGCGGGAAUACGUAGGGAGCAAGCGUUGUUCGGAAUGACUGGGCGUAAAGGGUGCGUAGGCGGUUAUUCAAGUUAGAAGGGAAAUAUCCAGGGCGUAACUCGGGUGCUGCCUCUAAAACUGGAAGACUUGAGUGCAGUAGAGGUAAGUGGAAUUCGUAGUGUAGCGGUGGAAUGCGUAGAUAUCACGCAGAACACCAGAGGCGAAGGCAGCUAACCGG